AAGCAAAGCAAAGAAUGUUUUAUUAAAAGACUUAUAGGACACACACAUAAGAAGGGUUAACACAGCGUUCAGGAUAGUACCUGACUCGACAGUAAAAGGCAAUUUGCUGUCUCCUCAAAUUGUUCAAUAGGUUUGUACAUCUUUUUUAAAGAUUUCUUUAUUAUUAUUUGUAUGUAAGUACACUGUAGCUGACUUCAGACACACCAGAAGAGGGCAUCAGGUCCCAUUACGGUUGGUUGUGAACCACCAUGUGGUUGCUGGGAUUUGAACUCAGGACCUUUGGAAGAGCACUCAGUGCUCUUACCCGCUGAGCCAUCUCACCAGCCCCCUGUACAUCUCAUUUUUAUUUAGUUGACAUAUGUAUAAAACAUAUUUCUUAUACUUUAUUUUAUUUACCUAUGUAUUCAUAUAUAUUUAUGUACAUCCUUUUUAUUUCACACACACACACACACACACACACACACACACACACGACAUGAUUGAUUUCACACAACCACUACUAUAUGGUUCAAAAGAGAAUCAGAGCUUACUGGAUAAAAGGAAUUGAAAGGAAUACAAAUUUGAAAGACAGAAAACAUUUCAGAAUGUGAAAAAUAUAAUCAGGAUCGAAGCAGAAAAGAAGGCAGGCAGCAGUGGGAAACAAUGGACGUAAAUUUUGCAGCAAUCUAUGAUAUUUAUAUUGGUAGGGAAUAUAGUUUCAGCAGAAUGCAGGGAUUCUCCUAUGCGCUCACAGGGGAUCUGUAUGCCUCACACUGGAAACAAUAGAGACUUUGUGUUAGUAGUCACUCAUUUAGGCAACAAGAAAUAAUUGUGGCAAACUGAAAUGAGAGGGGGUGGUUUUGUUUGUUUGUUUUUAAAGACAGGGAUGAGGGGAGGGGGAUGGGCGAGGGAGGGAGAAAGAGGAAAGACUGAAUAGUUUAUUGGAUAGGCAAUAUAGUCUAGGAAUCCAAAAACUCUGGGAAUACAGAUGGCAUCGACUGGCUCUUAGAGCUUUUGAUUUCAACUAACUUCUAUUUCCAGAUGCCAGUUCGCAGGAGUCUGACUGGCCCACGGUUUGUUUUCCUCUAUGUGAUCCAGGAUCUGUAGAACAACUGCUGAUCAUUAGAAUAUGGGAAAUAUUGAGUAGAUAGAUAGUCUACCAAAGGAAGAAAUGGUGAAGACAUAUACACACAUCCACGUGCACACACAGAUAGUAUGGAUUCUACCAAGUAUGGUAACUAGGCAAAACCCAAGAAUGACUGCAUUCACAUAACUAAUCCUGAGAUAACACAAACGUGUAAUAGGUUAGUUGAAAGUAGGGUUCGUGGUCCUCGUGGUAAUAAAGUUUUCCCUUUAGGAUGUCUUGAACUUUGUCUCUGCAACUUGUUUCCCUCUCAGCUAACAUACCCAAAUUGCUACACACUGCCUCUGAUACGAAACUCAGAUCAGCCAUCCUUUGCAAAAGACCUAUUGGCUCAACCAGCAGAAAACAAAGAUAUAUAAAGCAAUAGGAGUGAUGAUGCACACCUGUAAUCCUAGUUUUGGGGAGACGGAGGCAGAAAGAUCAGGAGUUGAAGGCCUCCUUCCUCAGCUACAAGAGGAGUUGGAGGUCAGCAUCUCACACAAAGGCAAACAACCGCACUGCGAGACAGCAGACCUGAGCACUAGUAAAGCCACUCAAACGCUGUUAACCCCCAUUUAAAAAUUUAUUAUCAAAGCUCCCUAUUCCGAUUCUUCAAAAGUCGAAGAACCUGCGGAGCGACGAACCCCUGGGACCAUCGCAAGCCGAACCGCGCCUACAGAACUGAGGUUCCCAGAGAAAGGGGCAUAGCAGGGGCGUGGGGGGUAGGAGGAUGCCGCACAUGCGCACAAGCUCCCAGGUCAACAAAGACGGCGGCGUACGCGCGCGCACCAGAGCCAUUCACCGAGGACGUGCGCGUGCCCGGCCGCCGCAGCGAGGUGCCAGCGGCCCAGGGGACAGAAGGAAAGGAGGGGCAGGAGCCACCGGCCGCGGCGGGAGGAGGAGGAGGAGGAGGAGGAGACGGGGUUGUGCUCCUGGGCAGCUGAGGAGCGAGGGGCGGGGCCGGCGAGCGGCGCGUGCAGGUGCCAGGCUCCCGGGCUCCGGCUGGCGCGCGAGCGGCUCCGUGGGCCCCCGCCGCCGCAGUGGCAGUGGCCGCCGCCGCCGCCGCUUGGUCGCCGUCGGUCUGCGGGAAGCGGGUUAUGGCGGCGGCGGCAGUGGGAGCUGUGAAUGAGUUCUCCGGCCGGACGACGGAAGAAGAAAGGCUCGGGCGGCGCGAGCCCGGCGCCCGCCAGGCCUCCGCCCCCCGCCGCGGUCCCCGCCCCUGCCGCCGGCCCGGCCCCUGCGGCCGGCUCGCCGCCUAAGCGGAACCCGUCUUCUUUCUCGUCCCCGCUGGUCGUCGGCUUCGCCCUGCUGCGCCUGCUGGCCUGCCACCUGGGGCUCCUCUUCGCGUGGCUCUGCCAGCGCUUCUCCCGCGCCCUCAUGGCCGCCAAGAGGAGCUCCGGGACCGCGCCGGCGCCCGCCUCGCCCUCGCCCCCAGAGCCCGGACCGGGUGGCGAGGCCGAGAGCGUCCGCGUCUUCCACAAGCAGGCCUUCGAGUACAUCUCCAUUGCCCUGCGCAUCGACGAGGAAGAGAAAGCAGGACAGAAGGAACAAGCUGUGGAAUGGUAUAAGAAAGGUAUCGAAGAACUGGAAAAAGGAAUCGCUGUUAUAGUUACGGGCCAAGGUGAACAGUAUGAAAGAGCUAGACGUCUUCAAGCCAAAAUGAUGACUAAUUUAGUUAUGGCCAAGGACCGUUUACAACUUCUAGAGAAGCUGCAACCAGUUUUGCAAUUUUCCAAGUCACAGACGGACGUCUAUAACGAGAGUACUAACCUGACAUGCCGCAAUGGACAUCUCCAGUCAGAAAGUGGAGCAGUUCCGAAGAGGAAAGACCCCUUAACACAUGCUAGUAAUUCAUUGCCUCGAUCAAAAACUGUCCUGAAAAGUGGCUCCGCAGGGCUCUCCGGUCACCACAGGGCGCCUAGUUGCAGUGGUUUGUCCAUGGUUUCUGGAGCAAGACCGGGACCUGGUCCUGCAGCUACCACACAUAAGGGUACUCCAAAACCAAAUAGAACCAACAAACCUUCUACUCCCACAACUGCAGUUCGGAAAAAGAAAGACUUGAAAAAUUUUAGGAAUGUGGACAGCAAUCUUGCUAACCUUAUAAUGAAUGAAAUUGUUGACAAUGGGACAGCUGUUAAGUUUGAUGACAUAGCCGGGCAGGAGCUGGCAAAGCAAGCGCUGCAGGAGAUUGUCAUCCUUCCUUCUCUGCGGCCUGAGUUGUUCACAGGGCUCAGAGCUCCUGCUAGAGGCUUGUUACUCUUCGGUCCGCCAGGAAACGGAAAAACAAUGCUGGCUAAAGCAGUAGCUGCAGAGUCUAAUGCGACCUUUUUCAACAUAAGUGCUGCCAGUUUAACUUCAAAAUAUGUGGGAGAAGGAGAGAAAUUGGUGAGAGCUCUCUUUGCUGUGGCUCGAGAACUUCAACCAUCUAUAAUUUUUAUAGAUGAAGUUGACAGUCUUUUGUGUGAGAGACGGGAAGGGGAGCACGACGCUAGCAGACGGCUAAAGACGGAAUUUUUAAUAGAAUUUGACGGGGUGCAAUCUGCUGGAGAUGACAGAGUACUUGUAAUGGGUGCAACUAACAGGCCCCAAGAGCUUGAUGAAGCUGUUCUCAGACAAGACUCCUUCUGCUUAAAAACCUGUUGUGUAAACAAGGAAGUCCACUGACCCAAAAAGAACUCGCACAGCUUGCUAGAAUGACCGAUGGAUACUCUGGAAGUGAUCUGACCGCUUUGGCCAAGGAUGCAGCCCUGGGUCCUAUCCGAGAACUGAAGCCAGAGCAGGUGAAGAAUAUGUCUGCCAGUGAGAUGAGAAAUAUUCGAUUAUCUGACUUCACAGAAUCCUUAAAAAAGAUAAAACGCAGUGUGAGUCCUCAGACCUUAGAAGCAUACAUACGCUGGAACAAGGAUUUUGGAGACACCACUGUUUAAAGGAAUGGAUGCCUCUGUGAGCCCAUAGAACAUCGCACUUCACAGGAAACAAGAGCUUUGGCUACAGGAACCCAGACUUCGUUUACAGGACGUUUUAGAGUUUUCAUUUUUGUGCACCAAACUUGAAGAGGAACAAGAAGACAGACCUAAAUAAAAUAUGCAAUAUGAAUGGAAUUUUUGUUCAAGGCCUUCUUGCGUGAUGGUGAUGGUUUUGUUUUCUCAGUGGGCACUGUUAGUUAGAGCACAGCAAAAACAGAUUCUGGUUCAUUACUGAUUAUAAUCAUUCUGUAAAUAAUAAUUUGUACAUUGCAUCCAGAUGACAGUAUUGCAGAGACAGUGGGUGGUGGAAGACACAGAGCCCUCCCCCCGGUGUCUGUCUCCUGGUGUCUGUCUUGCAGCAGUCUGGUUUCUGGUUUCCUGUCCUACUGUUCCUUAGCUGUAUCCCUGUGAUUGGGAUAGCAAGCGUUCUGAGCUCUUCCUGCUUCCUUACCAGCUCAGUGUGCCAAGUGGAAAUCUUCCCAUCUGCAGUGAGAGCUGUAGUGAGACUCUUGUCCACCUGGAUACACAACCAUUAAACACUUAGUGAGUUCUUCACCUGGAUACACAACCAUUAGACACUUAGUGGGUUCUUUCACAUUCUGUUUUUCUCUUUUAUUGCCUUGCUGCCAAACAGUUUAGAAAGCAACUUAAUAGCAACAGCAAGAGAAAAUGUGGCACAACCAGGGUUUGAGAGUUUGAGUCACUCUGUGUAGCAUGUGCAUCAGUCCUUGUGUGCCCUGCAGUAUUUUUUUCUAAUAUGCCAGAAAUCCACUGUAGACUUAACUUACUCCAUCUGGAAUUCAUUUUUGUUGAAGUUAUUCUAAUACUUUAGAGAGCCAGUUUUAACUCAUAAAUUGAGGUACCAGUGUGAGAGAAGGGACAUAUUAGGAGCUAAGACAUUUCUAACUUAUUGCUUAUCACUUUCUUACUGUUUACAGACAACUAAAUGCCAGUGGCACUACCACCUCUACUAAUUACUGUCCCUUCAAUGAAACUUAAAAUACCGAAUUUUUCUACACGGCAUAUGUUUUAUAGGUUUCUUGUGCUUACUUUGUAACUAAAAAGCGCUAGCCUAAUGGUCUACCUUUUGUUUCUGUAAAAUGUAUAGUAAUUCGUUGUUGUUUGUGUAAAUAUGGCUGGACUUUUAUUAUAAAAAUGCAUUAUAGGAAGUAGAGGCUCAUGUGAGGCCUUUUAAGAACUGUAUAAAGGCAAAUAGAUAUUUGCCAUUAGUUUACUGGUUAAAAGUUUGUUUACAGAAUUUUUCUUUGGUGCUUAAACGAUGCUAUGUAAAACUUCAUGGGUAGAAGGGAUAAUUCUGUGGUAGCAACACCAACAUCUCAUGUAAGAAACAUGUCUGAGAAAACAUACUAAAAUCCUUGCUCUUUCCCCCUCUUUCCCCCAGAUAAAAUUUUUAUGAUAAAGACAUACAUCCUCAAUUUUACCCUUGCUCUUGUUAAAGAUUUAUUACUUAAAUAUAGAAGAUGGAUUAUUUCUUUUCCUAGGAUCAUAUGCUGUUUAUAGCUGUAAUUUAAAUCAUAUCUCUUAAUUAUGAUUUUAGACAUCCCUGGAUCAUAAAAAUGAAGUUUUGAUCAAUAGGAAAACAAAUUUAACCAAAGCUGUGCAUAGUUUUUGUUGUGGGCAGUGUCUUUUUAAGGUCUCAAAUGUUAAUGCAUCAGUUAUAAAAUACUGAUAGUCCCACCCGGUGAUGGUGCGAGGAACUGCAGCAGUCCUAAGCAGACAUCUACAAUCAGGCUCUAAAGCUGCACCGCUUUCACUUAGGAGGGGCAGUAACAUUCCCCCUGUUUAUGUAUUAAGACAGGCAUCAGCUCAAUGGUUAAACAGAAGAGCCUUUAAGAUCAGGGUUCAUUCUUGAUUCUUUAAGGACAAAUUUUAGGUGGUAAAAAUUUUAAAUGUCUAAAAGAUACAAAAUGAAGUUAACCCAAAACUCAAAGUUAUUGCUGUGUGACUGUCCAUCACUCACUGUAGAGAAGCACCUCUGUUCAUCAGGUCGUAGGUUCAGCUCCUGUUAAUGUUUUCUGUGAUGCUGUAUGACCCAGGUAGAUUGUAGGCCAUUUUGUUACUGUCUUUUAAGAUAGGGUUUCAUGGAGCCUAAGCUGGCCUAGAACUCAAUGGGUAGCCUAUAAAUAAAUACCUUAAACUGAUCUUCAUGCCUGCAUCUCCCAAGUGCUGGGGGUGCUGCUGGUGUGCAUCCCACAUCAGGAUGUUUGCUCUUUUUCAGAUAGAAGUUGCUGGGAUUUCCAAAUUAACAUUAGAUUUUUGUGUUGAGCUCUGUUUACUGUUGAAGAUAAUGUUUAAAUAAUAAGGAUUGGUAGCUCAUGUUAACAUGACAGAGUCCUUGUAAGCUCGGUGAACUUACUGAUCACCUAACUGAGCCAAAGGAAAGACUCAAUACAAUCUUUCCAAAUCUGCUAGGGCUACAAAACUUUUCUGAGACUAGAUGCCCAUUGGAUUUAUUUUUGUCUCUUUGCGUUUAACAGGACAAACAGAAUUUGAAAUUACAUGUAUGUGGCAUUCUUUGUUUAUACUGUAAAAUUGUUUAUAUAUCAUACAAAAGCUAAUUCUUUGAUAGACUGAACUGCUUAAUGGUUUGCUUUUUGUUUUCUUAAGUCAGGUUUUCCUUUAAAUGUCUGUCUCAGUUUUAGUCUUACUUUUACUUCUGCGAAGCAAAUGACUUAAAGGGUGCAUACAGCUACAUAACGUGGGGUUUUGUUGUAAAUAAAUGACAAACUUUGUUUUGCCUUAA